GAUGAACGCUGGCGGCGUGCUUAACACAUGCAAGUCGAACGAAGCACUUUAAUCGAUUUCUUCGGAUUGAAAUUUUAGUGACUGAGUGGCGGACGGGUGAGUAACGCGUGGGUAACCUGCCUUGUACAGGGGGAUAACAGUUGGAAACGGCUGCUAAUACCGCAUAAGCGCACGGCAUCGCAUGAUGCAGUGUGAAAAACUCCGGUGGUAUAAGAUGGACCCGCGUUGGAUUAGCUAGUUGGUGAGGUAACGGCCCACCAAGGCGACGAUCCAUAGCCGACCUGAGAGGGUGACCGGCCACAUUGGGACUGAGACACGGCCCAAACUCCUACGGGAGGCAGCAGUGGGGAAUAUUGCACAAUGGGCGAAAGCCUGAUGCAGCGACGCCGCGUGAGCGAAGAAGUAUUCGGUAUGUAAAGCUCUAUCAGCAGGGAAGAUAAUGACGGUACCUGACUAAGAAGCACCGGCUAAAUACGUGCCAGCA
rnacentral:rRNA from 1 species